rnacentral:SRP_RNA from 1 species
GCCGGGUGCAGUGGCAUGUGCCUGUAAUCCAAGUCACUGGGAGGCUGAGGUUGGUGGAUCAAGUGAGCUGAGGAGCUCUGGGCUGCAGCACGCUAUGUCGAACGGGUGUCCACGGCUAAGUUCGGUAUCGAUAUGGUGUUCCUGGGGGAGCCUGGGACCACCAGGUUGUCUAAGGAGGGGUGAACCGGCCCAGGUCGGAAACGAAGCAGGUCAAAUCCCCCGUGCUGUCCAGUAGUGGGAUAAUACCUGUGAGUAGAUGCUGCAGUGCAGCCUUGGCAAAACAUCGAGACCUAAUAUUUU